rnacentral:lncRNA from 1 species
AAAGAAUCCCAAGCAGACUGUGCACUGAGUGCAGAGCUUGAAACAGGGCUCGAUCCCACCACUCUGAGAUCAUGACCCAAGCCAAAACCAAGAGUCAGAUGCCCAACCGACUAAGCCACUCAGGCGCCCCGCCUUUUUGGCUGCUAUCUCUUGCUACACAGUGAAGCACUUUGGAGAACUAAAUUUUUUUCUCAGACAUAUGAGGCCGAUGUGAAUAUCAAAAUGAUAUAGAGGACCAAGGAAGAAUAACUC